rnacentral:rRNA from 1 species
ACGAACGCUGGCGGCAUGCCUAACACAUGCAAGUCGAACGAGACCUUCGGGUCUAGUGGCGCACGGGUGCGUAACGCGUGGGAAUCUGCCCAAAGGUUCGGAAUAACACAGAGAAAUUUGUGCUAAUACCGGAUAAUGUCUUCGGACCAAAGAUUUAUUGCCUUUGGAUGAGCCCGCGUAGGAUUAGCUUGUUGGUGGGGUAACGGCCCACCAAGGCGACGAUCCUUAGCUGGUCUGAGAGGAUGAUCAGCCACACUGGGACUGAGAUACGGCCCAGACUCCUACGGGAGGCAGCAGUGGGGAAUAUUGGACAAUGGGCGAAAGCCUGAUCCAGCAAUGCCGCGUGAGUGAUGAAGGCCCUAGGGUUGUAAAGCUCUUUUACCCGGGAUGAUAAUGACAGUACCGGGAGAAUAAGCUCCGGCUAACUCCGU